AUCCAUGUCUCGGCUCAGGGAAUCUUAAUAGGGACCUUAGCAAACCAUUUAUUGAUAAUUCAUUGAAGGUGGAGCAGAGGCUGAAAUAAACUCAUAGUGAAGUUGACUCGGUGAAAGACCUGAAUGAAUCAAUCCUUCUUCAGGAUGAAGAACAUGAAAACAAAGGAAAAUAUGAGAGCUGUGAAGCUGCUAAAAGCGAUGCAUCUGAAAGGGAAGAUGCAACUGACGAGAUUUAGCAUAUGGGACAAGUCAAGCAUGGAUAUAAAAUAUGCAAGUAGAUUGAC